rnacentral:rRNA from 1 species
CCCUUAGAUGUUCUGGGCCGCACGCGCGCUACACUGACGAUGGCAACGAGUUUUUCCUUCGCCGAAAGGUGUGGGUAAUCUUUUGAAACAUCGUCGUGCUGGGGAUAGAUCAUUGCAAUUUUUGAUCUUGAACGAGGAAUUCCUAGUAAGCGCGAGUCAUCAGCUCGCGUUGAUUACGUCCCUGCCCUUUGUACACACCGCCCGUCGCUACUACCGAUUGAAUGAUCCGAUGAAUAUCAUGGAUUGAGGAUGCAAGCAGGUUCGCCUGUCUUCAUCUUCGAGAAGUGAAGUAAAUCUUAUCAUUUAGAGGAAGGAGAAGUCGUAACA